GGUGAAGAACGCAGCGAAAUGCGAUACUUGGUGUGAAUUGCAGAAUCCCGUGAACCAUCGAGUCUUUGAACGCAAGUUGCGCCCGAAGCCACUAGGCCGAGGGCACGCCUGCCUGGGCGUCACACGUCGUUGCCCCCCCCCCAUCUACUCCUUCGGGAUUGCGGGGGGCGGAUGAUGGCCUCCCGUGCGCCUAGCCGCGCGGUUGGCAUAAAUACCAAGUCCUCGGCGACGCACGCCACGACAAUCGGUGGUUGCGAAACCUCGGUUGCCCGUCGUGUGCGUUCGUCGCGCAUCGAGGGCUCGAAAAAAUGCUCGGCUCCGGCUCGGCUUUCAACGCGACCCCAGGUCAGGCGGGGUUACCCGCUGAAUUUAAGCAUAUCAAUAAGCGGAGGA
rnacentral:misc_RNA from 1 species